UUUAUGGAGAGUUUGAUCCUGGCUCAGGAUGAACGCUGGCGGCGUGCCUAAUACAUGCAAGUCGAGCGAACAGAUAAGGAGCUUGCUCCUUUGACGUUAGCGGCGGACGGGUGAGUAACACGUGGGUAACCUACCUAUAAGACUGGAAUAACUCCGGGAAACCG
rnacentral:rRNA from 1 species